ACGCAAGGAUUUGUUCCAGACAUCCAUGAACAAGCCAGGACGAAGCCCUUUCCCGCCAAACCACUACGGCUGGGGAAUAAGCGGUGCCUGCCCCAACUCUGGGAGCGGGAACCCGGGAGAAGACUUGAGUGGCUCUGGAAAAACUGGCAGGAAUUUCCUUGUCGUGAGAAGACCGACGAGCGUCUGCAGAGGAGAAGACAACUGCAAACAGACUUUGGGCCAGGGAGGAGGGCGGGAGGAGGGGUGGCGGGGGCCAGCUUUGAUGGCUUCAACUCUGUUGUAAUUUUGUCUUCUCCAGAUUAGCCAAAAUAGUCAGCCCUAGCUGGGAGUUCUGUUCCGCAGAAUCCGCUCCCACCCCACCCCUCCACCCCCGCGUCAUGUGCACGCGAGGAGCUGUGUAGCUGCUCCUCCCCGAGUCACGCCUGAAACUUCCAGGGCUAAUGGUUCUGUGUUCCUGCCGUAAUUAGGAGGCCACACAGCUCUCCAACACUCCGUUAAACAAGUAUGUAAGUCAUCCUCUCCCUCUCCGGGGACAGACCGGGGGAAGGAAGGCUGCUGGGACCGCUUCGGGCGGUGUGUCCUCCGUUAGGGGAGUGGCUUGCUGUGACCCCCGGCUGCUCCUCCUGGCCCUGGUCUUUCUAAGCUCUUCCUUAGAAAGUAGAGAAAGGGGCAAAGAAUGUGCAUCUCGCCACCCACCGGACGAGCCAGGCGAGCCUGUAUCUGUGCUUGUAAAGUUUUCUAAAUAAAUUGGUUCCAAGCAGUGAUGAACAGAGGCUGAACCCGGGUCUUCUCCAGAACAGUGCAACGGAUAUAAAGAAGCUGGAGUCGUCCACCCUCUCCACCCGCCCCCCCCCCCCAAUAAAUCAGCCAUAUAAAUCAUUCGCAUUGUUUAAGGUACAUUGAUCAAUCUAAUGGCUUGUAAUAGGCUCCUAAUUGCCACUUGCAGAGUUCUGCAGGUUCCUGUCUGAAUGGGGAAGGUUUCAUUCCAGCCCAAGUCCUCCUUAAUCUGGAAACUGGGUGAUCACAGACCAAGGAAGAGCACUGCAGUGGCCAGGCCACAGUCUCAGUGCCUCAGGGGAGGGAGAAAGGGGGCUAACUGGAGAUAUUUACUAUUCUUUUUUUUUUCUUUUCUUUUCAAAGCUUACUUCCAAAUUUAUAAUUGUCUUUUUUUUCUUUAGUAAAUUAGUAAUUCUCUAAUGAGCAAAGCCCAGGCUGUGAUUUAUUGAUUAUUGCUUAUAUCAGAUGAGAAACUUUCCUUAUUUGCAUCAUUUAUAUCUGUAUGUAGAGUAAAAACUUCCUUAGCUGCAAA